GAUGAACGCUGGCGGCGUGCCUAAUACAUGCAAGUCGAGCGAACAGACGAGGAGCUUGCUCCUCUGACGUUAGCAGCGGACGGGUGAGUAACACGUGGAUAACCUACCUAUAAGACUGGGAUAACUUCGGGAAACCGGAGCUAAUACCGGAUAAUAUAUUGAACCGCAUGGUUCAAUAGUGAAAGACGGUUUUGCUGUCACUUAUAGAUGGAUCCGCGCCGCAUUAGCUAGUUGGUAAGGUAACGGCUUACCAAGGCAACGAUGCGUAGCCGACCUGAGAGGGUGAUCGGCCACACUGGAACUGAGACACGGUCCAGACUCCUACGGGAGGCAGCAGUAGGGAAUCUUCCGCAAUGGGCGAAAGCUUGACGGAGCAACGCCGCGUGAGUGAUGAAGGUCUUCGGAUCGUAAAACUCUGUUAUUAGGGAAGAACAAAUGUGUAAGUAACUAUGCACGUCUUGACGGUACCUAAUCAGAAAGCCACGGCUAACUACGUG
rnacentral:rRNA from 1 species